rnacentral:rRNA from 1 species
GACGAACGCUGGCGGCGUGCUUAACACAUGCAAGUCGAACGGCAAGGCCCUGCUUUUGUGGGGUGCUCGAGUGGCGAACGGGUGAGUAACCCGUGAGUAACCUGCCCUUGACUUUGGGAUAACUUCAGGAAACUGGGGCUAAUACCGGAUAGGAGCUCCUGCUGCAUGGUGGGGGUUGGAAAGUUUCGGCGGUUGGGGAUGGACUCGCGGCUUAUCAGCUUGUUGGUGGGGUAGUGGCUUACCACGGCUUUGACGGGUAGCCGGCCUGAGAGGGUGACCGGCCACAUUGGGACUGAGAUACGGCCCAGACUCCUACGGGAGGCAGCAGUGGGGAAUAUUGCACAAUGGGCGGAAGCCUGAUGCAGCAACGCCGCGUGCGGGAUGACGGCCUUCGGGUUGUAAACCGCUUCCGCCUGUGACGAAGCGUGAGGGACGGUAAUGGGUAAAGAAGCACCGGCUAACUACGUG